UCCAUUUUUUUUCACAAUCCCUCCACCUUUCUUAUUACAUAUCCUGAAAAAGAAAAAAACCUCUUCCGCUCGCAUCUAGUAUCCUGAAAUCACUCUUCUACUCGGGUGAUUGCUCUCUCUGCAAAUCGGAACCCCGCGUGACCCCUCUCUCUGCAAAUCGGAACCUCGCAUGACCUAUGCUAUCUGCACAUCUUCAUUUCUAUUCAAAUCACAGCUUCCAAUCAGAAUCAAUCGUGUGCCCUAGCUUCCAAUUUCUCUCCUUUUCUCAAUUUGAGUCAUCUACCGAAGAAUACUGAGAACAUUUGAAGCUUUAAAAAACUACAAAGUGGAUGGAAACAAGGAAAUGAUGGCAAUUGGGCUUAUGAAUGUGGUUAGCUCCUCCAAUUCCUGUUAUGUUACAACAGCUUUAACAACAACGCGGGUGCAAAAGCAACCGUAUUAAAUGUACUGGUGUAUGUGACAGGCAAUGUCACACUCCUUUUUUCUGAUGCCAUUCCUAAUCUUCUCAACUGGAGGCGUUGGCAAGGAACCAAGUCAAACAUUGUGCAAAGGACUCAACAGAGGAUUGUGAAUUGUUAGCAGGAUUAUUGGCAGUUAUUGUUGGGUAUAUUGUAAAAGCAUCUGGCCGAGUCUCUCAAGUUAUCAUCAUCGGAGCUGCAGUUUUUUUUUUUCUAAAGGAGCUCGAACUACUUAUAUCAGGCUUAUUCCCUAUAUCAAGAAGAAUUAUGACUAUGGUAUAGUUAUAUUUCUCUUGACUUUCAACCUUAUUGCUAUGUCAAGCUACCAGGUUGAUAAGACAUGGAUGAGGAUAUCACAAUCUAGUAGAUUGAUGAAUCAAUGAAGAUUCACCACAAAGAUGAUAAGAACUACGAAGACACAACAAUCUAACAAAUUGAUGAGUCAAUGAAGAUUUGUCACUAAGAAGUCCAUCUUUGAUAAGAAUCAAAGUUCUUUGGCAAGAACUAAAAGAAUCCUCUCUUAUUGAAUUCAAAAUUCAUAUAUUGACCAACCAAGGUGUCUACAAAUGUAUUUGAUGUCCUUAUAUAUAGACACAAAUGUUUAAGCUA